AACGCACAUUGCGCCCCCUGGCAUUCCGGGGGGCACACCUGUCCGAGCGCCGUUGCAACACUGAGGCUCAGCCUUGCGUUGGCGCGCGGCCCUGUGUGUGGACGGCAAGACGUCUGCACGCGGGGCCGGCGCUCAAACCCCGACGGCGCCGCAACUCGGCCGGCAAUGCGCAAACAGCAGAGUCGACCGGGAGCUGUGGCUGCCUUGUAACCAAAAUAUUACAAGCACGCUUGGCCUCGGAUCAGGUGGGGAUACCCGCUGAACUUAA
rnacentral:misc_RNA from 1 species